rnacentral:tRNA from 1 species
CCGCAGCUAUAGCAAUUGGUUAGAUAGCCACUCUGAUAAGGUGGAGGUUCCUGGUUCGAGUCCAGGGUUGCGGA